rnacentral:rRNA from 1 species
ACUCAAAUGAAUUGACGGGGGCCCGCACAAGCGGUGGAGCAUGUGGUUUAAUUCGAUGCAACGCGCAGAACCUUACCUGGGUUUGAACUACAACAGACAGGUGCAGAAAUGCACUCUCCCUUCGGGGUUGUUGAAGAGGUGCUGCAUGGCUGUCGUCAGCUCGUGUCGUGAGAUGUUGGGUUAAGUCCCGCAACGAGCGCAACCCUUGCUAGUAGUUGCCAACAGGUUAUGCUGGGAACUUUACUAGGACUGCCGGUGUCAAACCGGAGGAAGGUGGGGAUGACGUCAAGUCCUCAUGGCCCUUAUGCCCAGGGCUACACACGUGCUACAAUGGCUGGUACAAAGAGAUGCUAAAUCGCAAGAUCACGCCAACCUCAAAAAACCAGCCUCAGUUCGGAUUGCAGUCUGCAACUCGACUGCAUGAAGUCGGAAUCGCUAGUAAUCGUGGAUCAGCAUGCCACGGUGAAUACGUUCUCGGGCCUUGUACACACCGCCCGU